CAAACUGGCUAAUCUCCUCUGUAAAGUUUUAAAUUAAUUGGUUUAAUAAUAAUAGGAGCUUAAAUCAAAUAUUUCAUCAGGAAAGUAGAAAGCUUAAUGCCUUUUACUUCACGUGACUUUAGCAAUUUUUGGGAAAUAAAGAGGGUUUUAAAGAUUAUUGGUAAAAUACAAUGUCUUUAAAAUGGAAACAUGUGGUCUAAAUUAUGUUCCAAUAUUAGGUUUGCUAAAUGCUUUAAGGUCAUAAACUGCUUAUUUGGCUUUCGAAAAUUGUUUAACUUGCCUGCUUUCCAGCUAGGUAAGGCCUGGGAACAUGUGGAGUUGGCCAUGCCCCUAGCUAUGCUGCAAACAGUCAAACCUUUUCAGAACAUAACUUACCAGGUUUUACAUUAAAGUUAAAAUUGCUAAGAGUCACCAUUGUAACAUGCAAUUAAGACUACUAGAAACGGUUUUACAUGCACGGUGUGUAAGAACAGUAGAAUGUAUGUCUCUGUGUGUGUUUUGUAAAAGGUUUUUACUUCUUUAAAAUUUCUGAGUCAUUAUUUUGGCAAAAUAAAUAAUCUGGAAUUCCAAAAUCAAACUUCAGUUUCAAAAUUGUCUUUCCUAAUGCCUGGCUUUCUGGAUGGAUCAGAGGGCCCCUGAAAACAUCCAGAAAGGAGGUAAACAGGAUUAUUUGAUGUGUUUAGGUACAUGGGAUUGCCAAAAUGAUGUUCAGUCUUCUUUAAGUUUUUUUUUGUGAAUAAUACUAAUAUAUGUUCCAAAAUUGUAUGGGAUUCCUAAAAUAGCACAUGCUAUCAAUUAUAAUUAUGGUUAUUAUGUUAAGUUAUUGUAAACCACACAAAUAACCAAAUUUCCUUGUAUAAAGCUACUAACCCAAGUAGAACAAAAAUUAAUUAAAUGCCAAUAAAAUACUUUGUCAGACUUUCAUGUUAAACCAGCUGAUACUGAAAUUUUUAAAAUAGUUUAUAACCAAUGCUUGGUCCCAUAUUCCUGGGAAGAAAAUUAAAGCUUCAUGUACAUUUGGUCACCUUGUGGGCCAUUUAAACAUUUUAUAAAGGGAUUUCAUUCAAUUGUUAUUUCCAAUGCAUGCUUUAUGGUUGUAUAAAAGCUUUCCCAUGUGAGAGGGCUGAUGUUAUCACAGUAGAUUAUUAUGCUACAGUGUAUUUGCACCAGGUAAAAAAGCUUUUUAUGGUUUGAAUCUUCUGAGAACACCAGAGAAAGACUCUCCGUACCAUCCUCACUGCAACUAAACUUCGGGACCCUGGGCUUUGGGUUCAUGGUCUCGCAACUGAAAAGGUUCCCUCCACACUUUUGGAAUUGUGCACCCAUUGGAACCCUUGAGGUAAAGCUAACCAGAGAAAUUUCUCCCAAGAAGAAGAAGAUGGCAUCCUUGAAGUGAACAGCUUUUCCCAAGUUCACAGAGUAAGACUUCUACUAUCAUGAAACUCUUAUCUUUGAAUAUUUUUUCUUGCUUAUAUCUCUACUAACAAUAGAAGUGGGAAAAGGGUCUGUUAUGUGCACUUAUGGGGUAUACUUUUAUUUGUGAAGAAGUUUGCAGCCAGCCUUAUACAUGGAUAACCUUCUACUUUGAUAGAGAUGAAGGCCCAAUGCAGGUAAGAAACUUUAGUGGUACAUAUGUUGCCCCAUAAUCACUCAAAAACAAAAUAUUGGUUCAUCCCUCUUAACCCACAUCAUGGGUUAAAGAGAACAUUGCCAGGGGGUCUUCACUCUCCUAGAAGGGCAUCAUUUGUUAAGUCCUUUUUCCAUGGCUUAAAGUAAAGGAAGCAAUGAUUAGAAAUGUAUCCCUCAUGAUAGGCUCUAUAGCAAAUCUACUUUAAAGGCUAUCGUUACACAACAGAUUUUAAAUUCUCUUUGAAAGUUAUGCUAAAUAGAAUUGGCUAAACAAAGAAGUUCUUCUGCAGCUGCUGACACUUGCGGCCUAUGGAGAAACAGGUCAAAUGCAGAUUAUAAAAAUUCAGUGUAGGGGAUUAAUGAAAAGACCACUUAGUCAAGUGAGUAGACUCUUCAUCUAGCUCAUUCUUUAAACUAUUUAAGUGUAGGUGGUUUGGUUUCUAGGGACCCUGGUUAAGGAGCAUACUCUGAACUCUGGGUAUUUUCCUUCCAGUAGUGAUAAUAAUAGUCUCCCUGGUGCACUGUAUUCUCUCAAAGGUUUUAAAUGCUUGCAUGCAGCCAUCUCUAGAACAUCAAAUGGUCUCUCUUCGACUGGAAUGACAACAGCUGAAAGAAAUGUUCAACCAUGAGGACACCAUACCUAUAAAUGAUGUGCUGAGACUGGAAACCCAAAAUAGACCAUCAAGCUUCAGAUGAUGAUGCAACAAAGGUUUCAGCCAGUUCCAGGUGAAGACACCACCCUUGGACAUCAAGAAGCUACCCUGCCUCCACUAGAUAGAGCAGGGAGAGUUCUGUGAUCCCCAAUAGGUAAGGACUAUGCCCCAAGCCAGCAUGAAGCAGUUACCAAAAAAGAUCAUCGGUCCCUCUGCCUCCCAUAAGGAUUUAUGGUAUCACAUCUCUCAGGGAGGAGAUGAGGCAGGAAAAUACGGUCUGGAGGCAGGAAACAUAAGGACAAUUCACACUUCAGCUAUGACAGGAAAUAUCCUCUCCAUAGGGCAUAGGCCAAGUAAAUGACUUUGCAACUUUACUUCAUCCUCUUCAUUUAUGUAGCAUGUGUCCCAAUCCUCUAGAGGAUAUUGAAACUCCCCAAAAUUCUAAAUAGUGCGGACUUUGAGCCCCUAUGCUCAGGCCCGCUCCCACACUAUGGAGUGUACUUUCCUUUACAAUAAAACCCUCCAUUUCUUCCUUGC